rnacentral:rRNA from 1 species
UGCAGUCGAGCGGGGAAGGUAGCUUGCUACUUAACCUAGCGGCGGACGGGUGAGUAAUGCUUAGGAAUCUGCCUAUUAGUGGGGGACAACAUCUCGAAAGGGAUGCUAAUACCGCAUACGUCCUACGGGAGAAAGCAGGGGACCUUCGGGCCUUGCGCUAAUAGAUGAGCCUAAGUCGGAUUAGCUAGUUGGUGGGGUAAAGGCCUACCAAGGCGACGAUCUGUAGCGGGUCUGAGAGGAUGAUCCGCCACACUGGGACUGAGACACGGCCCAGACUCCUACGGGAGGCAGCAGUGGGGAAUAUUGGACAAUGGGGGGAACCCUGAUCCAGCCAUGCCGCGUGUGUGAAGAAGGCCUUUUGGUUGUAAAGCACUUUAAGCGAGGAGGAGGCUACCGAGAUUAAUACUCUUGGAUAGUGGACGUUACUCGCAGAAUAAGCACCGGCUAACUCUGUGCCAGCAGCCGCGGUAAUACAGAGGGUGCAAGCGUUAAUCGGAUUUACUGGGCGUAAAGCGCGCGUAGGUGGCCAAUUAAGUCAAAUGUGAAAUCCCCGAGCUUAACUUGGGAAUUGCAUUCGAUACUGGUUGGCUAGAGUAUGGGAGAGGAUGGUAGAAUUCCAGGUGUAGCGGUGAAAUGCGUAGAGAUC